GCGACCCCAGGUCAGGCGCGACUACCCGCUGAGUUUAAGCAUAUCAAUAAGCGG
rnacentral:rRNA from 1 species